UACGGGGGGAGCAAGCGUUGUUCGGAUUUACUGGGCGUAAAGGGCGCGUAGGCGGCCCGCUAAGUCGAACGUGAAAUCCCCGAGCUCAACUCGGGAACUGCGUCCGAUACUGGUGGGCUUGAAUCCGGGAGAGGGAUGCGGAAUUCCAGGUGUAGCGGUGAAAUGCGUAGAUAUCUGGAGGAACACCGGUGGCGAAGGCGGCAUCCUGGACCGGCAUUGACGCUGAGGCGCGAAAGCUAGGGGAGCAAACGGG
rnacentral:rRNA from 1 species